rnacentral:tRNA from 1 species
GUUGUAGCUCAGUGGCAGAGCACUUGCCUUGAAUGCAUGAAGCCCUGGGUUCAAUCCCCAGCAUCACA